AUGUGUGUUAUAGCAGUAAUGGGGUUAAACUGAUAUUAAAAUGACAACUCCAUAGGUGGUACCAGGUCAGGGGAGUUCAUCUCUGCUCCCAGCAUCCCUGGGACAGUACUGAUCAACAUAGCUGACCUGAUGCAGAGGUGGACCAGUGAUGUUUUCCUCUCAGUGGUCCAUAGGGUUUUACUGCCCCCUGCUGGAGACUGGAGCACACUGCAGCCCCUGGCUUUCUUUGUGCAGCUGAAGGAUGAGGUCCUCAUCACCUGUUGUGAUGGGUCCAACAAAUAUCCCCAGGUGAAGGCAGGGUCCUAUCUCAUCCAUCAUUCCUUGAAUGUAAUUAGUUUGUGUAUUGUAAUUAUGUUAUUGAAACAGAAUAAGUCAUUAAUGAGAGAAUAAAUAAGUCCAGUCCAACCA